UCUGGGCAUGGUGGAGCACACCUGUAAUCCCAGCUGUUUGGGAGGCUGAGACAGGAGGAUUGCGAGUUCAAAGACAGCCUCAGCAAUGGGGAGGCGCUGAGCAACUCAGUGAGACCCUGUCUCUA
rnacentral:sRNA from 1 species